CGAGGUGCUGCAUGGCUGUCGUCAGCUCGUGUCGUGAGAUGGUUGGGUUAACGUCCGCAACGAGCGCAACCCUCCGCCCUUAGUUGCCAUCAUUCAGUUGGGCACUCUAAGGGGACUGCCGGUGAUAAGCCGAGAGGAAGGUGGGGAUGACGUCAAGUCCUCAUGGCCCUUACGGGCUGGGCUACACACGUGCUACAAUGGUGGUGACAGUGGGCAGCGAGACCGCGAGGUCGAGCUAAUCUCCAAAAGCCAUCUCAGUUCGGAUUGCACUCUGCAACUCGAGUGCAUGAAGUUGGAAUCGCUAGUAAUCGCGGAUCAGCAUGCCGCGGUGAAUACGUUCCCGGGCCUU
rnacentral:rRNA from 1 species